GUACCCUCAAGCUAUGCUUGGUGUUGGGUGUUUGUCCUAUCCAUUGCGACUGGACUCGCCUUAAAGAUAUUGGCAGCCGGCAUUUUGGCCUUGGAGCGCAGCACAAUUUGCGAGUCCAAGUCGGAAUACUGACGUCCAGAUAAGCUUUUUACCAC
rnacentral:misc_RNA from 1 species